GAUGAACGCUGGCGGCGUGCCUAAUACAUGCAAGUCGAGCGAACAGACGAGGAGCUUGCUCCUCUGACGUUAGCGGCGGACGGGUGAGUAACACGUGGAUAACCUACCUAUAAGACUGGUAUAACUUCGGGAAACCGGAGCUAAUACCGGAUAAUAUAUUGAACCGCAUGGUUCAAUAGUGAAAGACGGUUUUGCUGUCACUUAUAGAUGGAUCCGCGCCGCAUUAGCUAGUUGGUAAGGUAACGGCUUACCAAGGCAACGAUGCGUAGCCGACCUGAGGGGGUGAUCGGCGACACUGGAACUGAGACACGGUCCAGACUCCUACGGGAGGCAGCAGUAGGGAAUCUGCCGCAAUGGGCGAAAGCCUGACGGAGCAACGCCGCGUGAGUGAUGAAGGUCUUCGGAUCGUAAAACUCUGUUAUUAGGGAAGAACAAAUGUGUAAGUAACUAUGCACGUCUUGACGGUACCUAAUCAGAAAGCCACGGCUAACUACGUG
rnacentral:rRNA from 1 species